rnacentral:rRNA from 1 species
UACGAAGGUCCCAAGCGUUAUCCGGAUUUAUUGGGUUUAAAGGGUGCGUAGGCGGGCUAUUAAGUCAGUGGUGAAAGCCUCAAGCUUAACUUGAGAAUUGCCAUUGAUACUGAUGACCUUGAGUACAUUUGAAGUGGGCGGAAUGUGUCAUGUAGCGGUGAAAUGCUUAGAUAUGACAUAGAACACCAAUAGCGAAGGCAGCUUGC